CUUACCUUCUCCUUUCACAGCAGCCUCAGUUCGCUGUUUAUAUCUCCGUCAGAUUACCUAAACAGCAACGGUCAUUUCAAGAUCAUCGCGUAGACACCUGUGCUGGUCAGCUGUCUGUGCACAAGCAUGAAACGCUUUGUUAUCUUGUAUGUGGUAGUACUGGUGCUGAUCGUCCUGGAAACACUGAAGGGUAUACCACCAGUCCCGAAAAUCAGGCCACACACCAACAACGGUACCAAAGCGUCCGCACGAGACCUACCGGAAGAAGUCAGCAGCAUGUGCAGUAGCACGUACUGGGACCUGUGUCACUGCAAUUAUAAGAACCCUACGGAUGACGGUUAUUGCGCAAUAUGGUGCAAUGAAACAUUUCCCGAAGAAGCCGUGGGAGGAGUUUGUGGAGUUGACUACUGUGUAUGCGAACACUGGUAAAUGUCCUUAGCGUCGGCAUGACUCGCUUGCUGUAUUUGGUCGCUAAGGCAAUAAAGUCCUGCUACGGUUUGA